AAGAGCCGGCCUACUUGCCCGUGGGGCCCGGAGAGUCUUGUCAAUCUGCCCGCCCCCCCCCCCGGAGGCCCCCUCCCAUCCGGGUAGGGCCGUUACCACCCUCUUAAAGGAGCGCAGGGACAGGGCAGCGAACGGCCCCAUCCCGGAGCCCGCACGCAGAGCCGAAGGCGCAGGGACCGUGUGGACGGAAGCAUCCGUCGGGACCGCCGAAGAGGAACAUUUACAAGUAACAAUCGUGCAUUGUGUGGAUGCUGGCCUUCCUCCCAGAAUCAGAAGGGCAUUACAGAUUACAGCAUUCUUCUGGCUGGCCCUGUGCUGCAGAAAUCGUUAUCCCCAGCAUUGAGACUGGCAUGUGGACAGGAACUUAGUGAAUCCUUAUCUUCAGCUGAAGAAACUGGAGGAUUCCAGGGCCGGCCUUCUGUCUGGCUCGGCCCGCUGCAGGCCUGGAGCUCGGCAGAGUCAAGGCUGACAGGCUAGCGAUCGGGAGCCCUUUCACCAUGACAGCCUGGGGUAUGGAAGUGAUCUGCUGCUCCCACACCUGCCCACUAAUGAUGCCAAGAUACAUUCAUCUCCCUGAGAGGGCUUUCCCGACUCUCCAGAUCAGGUCGGGCCUGGUGCGCGCUUGGAUAUGACCACAGGGUUCUCCAUGGCAUGUUUUACUCUAUGAAUAAACGAACCAUUUGAAUGAAGUAUCUGACUUCU
rnacentral:lncRNA from 12 species